CAAGUCGAACGAGAAAGUGGAGCAAUCCAUGAGUAAAGUGGCGUACGGGUGAGUAACACGUGGAUAAUCUGCCCUUUAGUGGGGAAUACCGAUGGGAAACCGUCGACAAUACCGCAUAAGCUCGAGAGAGGAAAGCAGCAAUGCGCUGAAGGAGGAGUCCGCGGUCGAUUAGUUAGUUGGCAGGGUAAAGGCCUACCAAGACUGUGAUCGAUAGCCGGCCUGAGAGGGCACACGGCCACACUGGCACUGAAACACGGGCCAGACUCCUACGGGAGGCAGCAGUGGGGAAUCUUGCACAAUGGGGGAAACCCUGAUGCAGCGACGCCGCGUGAGCGAUGAAGCCCCUCGGGGUGUAAAGCUCUUUCGGCAGGGAAGAUUAUGACGGUACCUGCAAAAGCAGCUGCGGCUAACUACGUGCCAGCAGCCGCGGUAAUACGUAGGCAGCAAGCGUUGUUCGGAGUUACUGGGCGUAAAGGGUGCGUAGGCGGCUUUUUAAGUUUGGUGUGAAAUCUCCCGGCUCAACUGGGAGGGUGCGCCGAAUACUGAGAGGCUAGAGUGUGGGAGAGGAAAGUGGAAUUCCUGGUGUAGCGGUGAAAUGCGUAGAUAUCAGGAGGAACACCGGUGGUGUAAACGGCUUUCUGGACCAUAACUGACGCUGAGGCACGAAAGCGUGGGUAGCAAACAGGAUUAGAUACCCUGGUAGUCCACGCCCUAAACGAUGCAUAUUUGGUGUGGGCCAUUCAUUUGGUCUGUGCCGGAGCUAACGCGUUAAAUAUGCCGCCUGGGGAGUACAGUCGCAAGGCUGAAACUCAAAGGAAUUGACGGGGGCCC
rnacentral:rRNA from 1 species